UACGUAGGCAGCAAGCGUUGUUCGGAGUUACUGGGCGUAAAGGGUGCGUAGGCGGCUUUUUAAGUUUGGUGUGAAAUCUCCCGGCUCAACUGGGAGGGUGCGCCGAAUACUGAGAGGCUAGAGUGUGGGAGAGGAAGGUGGAAUUCCUGGUGUAGCGGUGAAAUGCGUAGAUAUCAGGAGGAACACCGGUGGUGUAAACGGCUUUCUGGACCAUAACUGACGCUGAGGCACGAAAGCGUGGGUAGCAAACAGG
rnacentral:rRNA from 1 species